AAAACAUGGUGUGGUCAAUUCCAAAAUAUUUUCUUAAAUCUCUCUUAACUCUUCUAAAUCGAUUCUCCUUCCAACUGGGUAAAAUAAGUGAUAUCAUUUCUAAGUUU